CCAUGUGAUUGACUUCUCCAGGAGGGCUGCCCAGUGUGACAGGAAGAGACAGAGGGAGAGCCUGUGACCAUCGGGCAGGUAGAAUUCCUCUGUCUCUAGUUAUAUUUAUAGAUAUGUAUAGUUUAUUUAGGUAGUGGUAUUUAUAGAUUCAUGUAAUUAUUGUUAGAGAGCUGUACAGUUAAUUAUUUUUUUAUUUUAGAUAUAUAUUGUUAUAGCUUUAGAUGUAUUGUUGUGGUUAUAGAUGUGCCCAGUUGCUUUUAUAAUUGUGUCGUUAGUUACAUUUACAUAUAUACAUUUGUAAAUGCAUAUUUAUAUUUGUAUCUGGGGGUUUAGACGCAUAGAUUGAUAUUUAUAUACGCCUCUUUUUAACCUUUUGCCCUGUUCUGCUUCCUCGCUCACCUCUUGCUUUUCCCCCUGUGCCCCCUGUGUCCCCUCUCCCUGGGCUGGGUCCGAGCUGGCGGCCGGGCCGGGCGCAGCAGCAGUUCCAGCCCCGGGUGUCCCUGGAGCACUGGGAGCUGCCGGUGGCCCCAGGCACUGUCCCCUGAGGAGCUGCUGAAGGACGCUGUAAUGAAGACCACGAGGACAGCCGGAGACUGCCAGGAGCCAGCAGGGAGAAGCUGAGGGCCAGCAGCAGGAGCAGUGAGCGGGGCCCUGCUGCUGCCAGCCUGGAGAGAGCCCAGGAGAUCUGCCAAACUUCAUCUGCAGGAUCAGAAGAACUGGUGUCCUUUGGCCACCCCCAGUUCCCACUGAAGAUGGGAGCACCUGCAGAGCAGAGAGGACCAGCUGCAACUCCAGGCCCAGCUCUUGCUGCUCACAGCUGAGCCUGUGGCAAGCUCCAGGAGCUCCUGCCAUCUCCCUCCCUGUUGGCAGCUCUCUCCCUCCAGACCCCAGGCCCUGCCCAUCCACGUUUUUCCCUCCCAGUUCACCCCUUUGCUUUGCCUUCCCUUAUUAAACAGUUUGUCUUUUUCAUUUGACUCGUGGAUCUGUCCAUGGAGCUGAAGCAGCACAA